GGAUCACGUGAGUUGGCGGACGGCGGAGUACGCAGCUGCUCUGCAUGCUCUCGUUGACGGAGAGCUCGUGUCGCGUUAGCGCUGAUGAACGUUUGUGUGAAUUCAGUCCGUUACGUAACCCGACAACCUCGAACACGGGAGCCAGGACAAGAGGACGUCAGCUGGACCGGAGUCCGAUGAGAGCAGGUGGAGAUGUGAGGAAACACCUGGACGUUCUACCUUACCAACUGAAAACCCCUCACCUCUCCCUCCAAGUUCAGACAUGAAGGAGAAACAACAGCAGCUGAGAAAGGUCUGAUAUGUGACGACGAUCAAAGCCUGUUUGCACCUGUGACCACGCCCAGCAGUGAUGUCACGUUGUACUCUGGAGUGCACUUCUACAUCACUGCGGUGAAGAGAGACGUGACGCCGUGUGUUCUUUUUUAAUUUAAAUGAAUUCUUUUAAACUGAAAAGAUUUAAACUCUUUUUUUUAAAAACAACACUCCUCUGUCCGCUCCAUGCAGCCUCCUCCACCUUGACCCCGGCCUCCAGGCCUCCUGCUGCAGGAUCCUGGAGGCCCCCCGUGGGCAGCAGGCUCCUUCUUCUCUUUGCAGCCCCUCCUCCACAGGAAAGCCCCCCAGAAUACCUCCACAGGUUCUUCCUCCCCUCGCGGCGUCGCCUCACUUCCACCGCACGAUUCGGAAAUGCCUGAGAGCCCCCGAGUGAGGACGGCGUUCAUCUGCACCGCUUCACCACCACGAGGUCCGGACCACUGGACCUUUAAAGCAGCGCUCCAGCUCCAGAUUCUCUGGAUGCUGAUUUGAUAUUUUCCAUGUUUGGACUUUAAAUGUUAAUAAAUGAAUAAAAAUGUUUGUACUGAGAAUAAAUGUGCAGCUCAAACAUAAAAACAAAGAUUACAGAUGAAAUCACCGACCGCUCCACAAACUUUGACAGUUGGUUGUUGACUUGAUUAAAAAUAAUUUGAAUUAAAAAACUCUGAAUUAUUAAUAAUAAACAGACGAGCUGCAGAUUUCUUCCUCUGUGUCGACGCCUGAAGAGCAGCUCUGGUCCUCUCACGCCACCUGCUGGUCUGAACGACACAACACAAAGAUAUCAACAGACAAAACAAAAUAAAAGUUCUCUGUGUAAAAUAAUGGAGAGUCGACUUGAAGCUGUAGGUCCUUUUAUUUAUUACAUUGCAUUCUUUUUCAUUACAUU